ACUGGUGGUCGGCGCCGGCUAAGGUGGGCCUUUCGAGCCCGUGACCCGGGUUCAAAUCCCGGCCGGGG
rnacentral:tRNA from 1 species